CUGACGGAGCAACGCCGCGUGAGGGACGAAGGCCUCUGGGCUGUAAACCUCUUUUCUCAAGGAAGAAGACAUGACGGUACUUGAGGAAUAAGCCACGGCUAAUUCCGUGCCAGCAGCCGCGGUA
rnacentral:rRNA from 1 species